UAAACAUGACCUAUUCAUUACAGCUGGUGUCUGUCCCGUCAACUGCUGUACUGAUCUUGACUGAUGGCCCCCAUUGUUCACCGACUACUCGGGCAUUGUAACUAUAAUUUUCUACAUUAAUCGAAUUCCAGAUGCUGUUGACAGUAUUUUCCCAAUACCCAAUACACCCAAUUAUUACCCAUCAUGUAGCUUUUAAGUUAGCGCAAGCAUCUUUACAACUGUAUUCUAUUAAAAUCCCUGUACACCAAAAGUUGUAAAUAAUGGUACUGAGCAAAACCAGUGUUUGGAUCGAAAAUAAGCAAAGAAAUCAGGGAUAAUCAUAAUAAAACACCUUUUCAUCUCGAUUUAAAAAGACAAAAUUGACAAUUCCAUAAAAUUUUUUCAUAAAAAAAGUCAUUUUGCGUACUUUAACCCAGCGAAUAUGCGUCCUUUGGCCGAAAUAACUCCGUGGAAGUAGAUGCGGAGUUUUAACGCCAAGUAAUAGAUUUGUUGAGAAAAAAAUUUAGUCUUAAUAGCUAAAAUUUGCCCCACAAUUAACUACAUGGGAUGCUUGAGUUGCUGGUCGUUUUAAAAAUUGCCUAUUUCAACUUGGUAGUCGGUUAAAUUGUUACCCCCAAGUUGAUAUUAUUUGGCUAUUAUCUCUACAAGUGCUGGUUAAAAUCGACUUACUUGAAAUAGAGGGAUGAUAAACAAUCAACAACAAAAAAAUACAACUUCCUGAAAUGCAAUACCUCAGUCAAUUUACCGAUUCAUCCAACACCAAACUGUUUGAACAGUUCUAUACAAAGUGAAAAGUUUCACAAAAAUUUUAUUAAACUUUUUAAGCAAGGUUGAAUGAAGCUUCAGGGAAGAGGUCCAACUUCUCUUGGAGGCUACCACGCUUAUUCAAGAACUUGGCGUAGCAACCGUCGGGAAUAAUUUCACCACGGCUGCGCUUUUCAAUGUACUCAUCACGAGCAUAUUGAGAGAAACCCCAUUUCUUAGAGACAAUGAUUCUCUGUUGACCGGGGAACUUGUAUUGACAACGGCGAAGGGCUUCAAUGGCAGUAGCACGGCUAGAAUCCUUGGUACGGACAGACAUCAAAACUUGACCGAUGUUUACACGGGCGACCAAACCAUUGGGCUUACCAAAGGCGUGACGCAUACCGGUUUGCAAUCUAUCGGCACCGGCACAUGAAAGCAUUUUGUUGAUACGAACAACAUGGAAGGGGUGUGCACGGACACGAAGGUGGAAACUAUCCUUACCACCAAUCUUGACCAAGUACUUGUUGGCACAGAUACGAGCAGCUUCAAGAGCUUCUGAGGUGAUUUGCUCGUAUUCGUUAGAGACCAAGUGGAUGCAAAGAGGGAACUCGUCAACACCAGCACGCUUACGACCCAAGUCGAAAAUACGAAUCUUGGAAUCGGGAACGGCACGGUUGUAACGAGACUUGGGGUAAGGCUUAUUCUUACAAUAACGAUAGCAGCGAGCAGGUCUACGUGCCAUUGUGAAAAAUGUGGUUCUGAUUCAGGAAAGUAAUUGAGAAAGACAGCACAACAAACUUUGGAAGAAAAAGCAGUCACCACUAUAAACACAAUUAAGUAACAAUACACAUAUAUUGUACCGGUACAGUAUUAUUAUAAUAAUACAAUAAAUUUU
rnacentral:lncRNA from 1 species